UACAGAGGUCUCAAGCGUUGUUCGGAUUCAUUGGGCGUAAAGGGCGUGCAGGCGGUUUGUUAAGUUCAGGGUGAAAGCUCCCGGCUCAACUGGGAGAGGUCCUUGGAUACUGGCAGACUUGAGGAGGGUAGAGGAGAGUGGAAUUCCCGGUGUAGUGGUGAUAUGCGUAGAUAUCGGGAGGAACACCAGUGGCGAAGGCGGCUCUCUGGGCCCUACCUGACGCUGAGACGCGAAAGCGUGGGGAGCGAACCGG
rnacentral:rRNA from 1 species